rnacentral:rRNA from 1 species
GAUGAACGCUGGCGGCGUGCCUAAUACAUGCAAGUCGAGCGAACAGAUAAGGAGCUUGCUCCUUUGACGUUAGCGGCGGACGGGUGAGUAACACGUGGGUAACUUACCUAUAAGACUGGAAUAACUCCGGGAAACCGGGGCUAAUGCCGGAUAACAUGUUGAACCGCAUGGUUCUACAGUGAAAGGCGGCUUUGCUGUCACUUAUAGAUGGACCCGCGCCGUAUUAGCUAGUUGGUGAGGUGACGGCUCACCAAGGCAACGAUACGUAGCCGACCUGAGAGGGUGAUCGGCCACACUGGAACUGAGACACGGUCCAGACUCCUACGGGAGGCAGCAGUAGGGAAUCUUGCGCAAUGGGCGAAAGCCUGACGGAGCAACGCCGCGUGAGUGAUGAAGGUCUUCGGAUCGUAAAACUCUGUUAUUAGGGAAGAACAAAUGCGUAAGUAACUGUGCGCGUCUUGACGGUACCUAAUCAGAAAGCCACGGCUAACUACGUG